rnacentral:lncRNA from 1 species
CACCAAGAUGCCAACUGCAAAAUCGUCUGCUGGAAGAAAAGGAAAGAGGGACACAUCCUCAGAACAAGACUGCAGGCAUGUCUAGCGGUGUGCAGCAGGCAGAACUGUCCACAGAGAUGGAUCAGCGACUCAUUGACACAGCAACAGAGCUUGUCCUGUUUCUUCAGAAUGCUGUCAUCAAAGGUACCAUUGUCAACUGAUGAUAGGCUCCUAGGAGUUGGGGAAAGUAACUUCACAUACCCAUCCAGAUGGACCAUGACUCAACCUAGUCACCAUGUGAACAGCCACAUGCAGCAGGUGGAACGCUGGGAGAAGCUGGUUACCAUGGCUGCCGAUAUCUCUCCCUCUUGAUAUACCUUUCUCCAGACACCCCAACACAUAGCCAAAAUACAUUUGUCUU